GACGAACCGUGCGAACGUUAUUCGGAAUCACUGGGCUUAAAGCGCGUGUAGGCGGAUGGGGACGUCGGUCGCUGAAAGCCCCCGGCUCAACCGGGGAAUGGGCGCCGAAACGCCCCGUCUGGAGGGACGUAGGGGGACCUGGAACUUCCGGUGGAGCGGUGAAAUGCGUUGAGAUCGGAAGGAACGCCCGUGGCGAAAGCGAGGUCCUGGACGUCAUCUGACGCUGAGACGCGAAAGCUAGGGGAGCGAACGGG
rnacentral:rRNA from 1 species